ACGGUCAUAUUUUUCCCCUCUCUUUCUCUCUCAAGACUAACUCUUUUUUUCCUCUCUCACUUCUUGUCUCUCCCUUUUUCGGUGACUUUACCAGACCGUCAUUGCCGCUGUAAAAUACCAAAAACAGCCAACACCACCUCAGUCGCACCUCUCAAACUCUUUCUCUCUCAAACACUCACCAUGAUAGGCGUAUCACCACCACCGGUGAACCGCCGUCGGUGGACCAUUUCCUUCUCUAAACCACCGGCGAGCAUCGAAAAACCACGCCGUCACAACAACGACCAUAAGCCUCCAAAACUCUAACAAAAUUAG
rnacentral:lncRNA from 1 species